GAUGAAGAACGUAGCGAAAUACGAUAAGUAAUGUGAAUUGCAGAAUUCAGUGAAUCAUCGAAUCUUUGAACGCACAUUGCGCCCGCCAGUAUUCUGGCGGGCAUGCCUGUUCGAGCGUCAUUUCAACCAUCAAGCCCCCGGCUUGUGUUGGGGACCUGCGGCUGCCGCAGGCCCUGAAAAGCAGUGGCGGGCUCGCUGUCACACCGAGCGUAGUAGCAUACAUCUCGCUCUGGGCGUGCUGCGGGUUCCGGCCGUUAAACCACCUUCAUAACCCAAGGUUGACCUCGGAUCAGGUAGGAAGACCCGCUGAACUUAAGCAUAUCAAUAAGCGGAGGA
rnacentral:misc_RNA from 1 species